AAAAGAAAACUCCAAAAGCUCUCUGCCUAAUUCUCUAUUGACAACUUGAAAUGAAAACUAUCAAAUUUGAGUCGAAUAUAAAUGUAACAAAGAAAUCAAGCAAAGACCCAGUUGACUACAUUAAGCGAGGGUUGAAGAAAGAAGGUUGGCGAAGUAACAAAGGAAAAAAGUUGGUUAGAGUAAAAAAGCAUAUGAACAAGAACAUAAAUCCUCUGCCCCUACUCUUUUCAUAAAAAUUAGAAAGAAAGCAAUAACUGUUUGAGCAUAUGUAUUCACAAACCACAAGCAUCAAAGGGUAUUAUAAUGUUGCACUUUGACAAUGGACCAAGAAAGGCAGGUAGUCAUUGAAUGAAUUUGCCAUACUUGGUUAGGAUUCUAUCCAAGCAGAUUAUGUUUUUUCCCCUUGUUAUAUCUUGUAUGUUUCAGUCGGUGUAAAUAGGGACCUUUGAUGUAUAAAAAAUAUCUUCUCAAUGUU